UAGAACUUACGGGAAAAAAAUCGUUCCAUCUCUCCAUCUAUUCCCCUCUUUCUCUCUUCGUCUUCAAGGUAAAUCCCCAAUUACAGGCAAACAACCCUAGCUCUCUCAUUCUCGGCGUUAGUUCGAAAAUUGCCCGUCGCCGUCUCCCGAUUCUGUGAUUCAGCGUCGUCGCCCUCUCUCUUCUCUCUCGAAUCUGUCGCCGCCCCUCCGCCAAAUUUCCGCUCUCGGCGAGCAUCACUGCCGUCGCUCCUUUCCUCACGACGGAGAGUCAUCGCCAGUUGCUCCCCGGUGUUCAGCAGCGCCGCGCGACUGUCGCGGUUCAGCCCGUCGCUUCUGGACUCCCGAAUUCAAGCGCAGGGUUGAUAAUAUGCUCCGAUCCGUCGUCGUUUGGAGCUCAGGUUCCCUCACUCAGAUCCGCGUCAGGCAUUGCUCCGAUCGAUCUCUCGCCCCUGUUGCCCAAAGGGAAUCAGAAAGAUCUGUUUUGAGCUAUUGGAUUUGAAAGAUGCAGUUGAGAACUUGUGCAGCAAUACUCGAACAAAGUAUUUGGCCUUUUUAAGGUUAUCCGAUGAAGUGGUUGAAAUGAAGCACGAGUUAAAUGAGCUCCAAAAGCAUAUCUCUUCCCAUGGGAUUCUUAUCCAGGAUUUAAUGAGUGGCGUGUCUCGUGAAUUGGAAGAAUGGAGUGGAGCUGGUGGAGAUGUCUCAGAGGCUGAGGACCCUCUAACUAAUGAAACUAAUGGAAUAUUCUCAACUGAAGUGGAAGAUCGACGAAUGCUGUUUUUGGAGCAUGUGGAUGUUCUACUGGCAGAGCAAUAGAUGCAAUUGAUACAGAAGAGCGAACUUACCCCGAGCUGAAAGGGACGGGGUAUAGUACAACUGAUGAAAGCUCCUCUUUCAAGUCUGCGCUCUCGAAGAGAAAAGCCAUGCUUGAAAACCAGCUCAUUGAGAUUAGCCGACAGCCCUCAGUUGGUAUUCUAGAACUGAGGAAGGUGUUGUCCAGUUUAUUGAAGCUUGGGAAGGGCCCCUUCUGUAAUUUGCUAUGUCCACAGGCAUUAUUCGGGAAGCUGCAGCAACUGGCCGCGGUGGCAGGAGAGAUGUUCUGUUAGGAAAAGAGAAGAUACAGAAGGUUCUAUUGGCUAUGUUGACAGAAACCAUGGUGAUGUGGUUGUCGAAUGAGGAGGAAUUCUGGGGAGUUCUGGAGAACGAGUCAGCUCCUCUUCGCCCAGUUACCAACACUUUUAAUAUUGUUUAGUUUGUGUGCUCAAACACGUUACAUUUUUGUGUAAAAUCAUUUGAUGGUUUGAAUAUUAUUCAAAUAGUUGUCAUUUUAUUUGAGUGAGUAGUUUAUUAAA